ensembl:lncRNA
CUCUCCUCUCCUCUCCUCUCCUCGCUCUAGAUGUUCAGCUUCUCUGUCUCCAGGCCGGCUGACUCUUACUCAGACUCUGUUCUUCUGGACUUUCUCCUUUCUCUAAUCUCAUGUAUUUCCGACUCUUCUUCACAAGCAUCUUCUCUCCAGUCUUGACUGAUCAUGAUCUUUAUUGUUCUUACUUGAGAAGGACAUUAUGUCCUUCAGAUUUUUUCUCUUCAUUUUAACUACAAAAGCGAAAAGGAUAAAAAUGUAAAUGAGAGUGUACAUGAAGACAGAAGCUCACUCAAAUAUCCAAUCAUUAUUUACAAGCUGUUUCACAGCCAUCUGACUUUCUAAAGAUAUAAUGAAAGGAAGCAUGCAAUAUAAAGGAAAUAGUGAUUCUGACUGUGAUAGAUGGUCAGGCUCAAAGAGGGGCAAACAACCCCACACAGAUAAUCAACACACCAUAAAGAAUAAGUAAUAUUGAUUACUUUUACUGUUAUUUUAUGAUAUUUUGUUCUUUUUAGAGCAAGACAGAACAGAAAAAUCAUGAACUGGCACGACGUUAGACAUAGUUAAUCAAAAAUUUUGGUCAGAUAAUUCCUCUAAAUCUAAAUUCUGGAUUUAUAAAAGACUUACCAGAUUUUGUCUUUGCACAGUUGCGUCUGCUUCAUAUCACCUAAGUUACUAAUAAGGCAAGAAAUAAAUGUAGGGCAAAACCGGACUCUUUGCCAAGUUUGCAAAGUCAUGAUUGCUUGAUAUGUGAUCCCCCAGAACCGCCCCUGAGACGUCAUUUGUUUUUUACUGUACUUGCCAUGUUGCCUGUUGCACUGUUUUAAAAACAGGUUUUGGGAUGCACUUGAAUUCUGCCAGAGCAAAACUUUUAGCAGGUUUUUCAGGAAAUGGGCGUGUUUUGGGGAGUUUUGGGGCUUUCUGUUUUGAAAGGGUUAUGACAGCCAGGAUCACUCAGAGCUCCCAGAGUUCAGCUGCAGGAGACAUGAUGACAGAGGAGCCGGGGACUGCAGCUGCUGCAACAGCAGACUACAGUGACUACUAUAACUAUGCAGCUGAAGAUGAAGGAUCACUAUGCAGUGAGAGCAACAUGAAGGUCUUCAGUGAGGUUGUCUUGGCCGUCCUCUACAGCGCAGUUUUCAUCGUUGGUCUGCUGGGAAACGCUCUGGUCCUGUGUGUGCUGGUCAGACACCGUCACAGAU